rnacentral:tRNA from 1 species
AAAAGUGCUGUCUCAAUGGCGUGUAAAGGGCGGUUUCCGGUACUUAUCCAAUCUCUUCUUUAAGGUUUUAACCGUACUCUAUUCUGCCGUGGUUCGCGAGGAAAAAAAUAAAAUCCACCCUGACCCCGACGUGACUUGAACACGCAACCUUCUGAUCUGGAGUCAGACGCGCUACCAUUGCGCCACGAGGUCACAGUGAGCUGGUGACUCCGUGUCGUUAAAGGCCUCGCUGCACCGGCUCGCUCCUGGGCUCAGGGGUUCAGGGUAGAACCUUGUCGCUCACGGACGCAGGGGAGGAGUUCGGAAUCCCGCGGCGCGAGCCAGAACUGCCGCGCGGAGGCUGCCCCGCUGUCGUUAGGCGACAAACGUUUGACUCUUCCUCCCCAGGCUGUCGCGGUGACCCACGGGGGAGGGGACGCCGAGGAGGAACUGAGGGAUACUCGGGAGCCCGGGGCCGCCCGGGGACCUGGGAACCCGACUGACUGUGGCGGGGAGGCCGUGGCCCCGCCCUGUAAGAUGGCGGCCGCCUCUGCGGAGGGCCCGGCGCCGUCAGGCGGGGUGAGGGGACCAGGCGGGCACCGGGCCCGGGAUCGCGGGGACCAGGCUGGCACUGGGCUCGGGGAUGACGGAGACUAGGCGGGUACCGGGCCCGGGAUGACGGGGACCAGGCGGGCACCGGGCUCCGGGAUGACGGGGACCAGGCGGGCACCGGGCCCAGGAUCGCGGGGACCAGGCGGGCACCGAGCUCGGGGAUGACGGAGACCAGGCGGGCACCGGGCCCGGGAUGACGGGGACCAGGCGGGCACCGGGCCCGGGAUGACGGGGACCAGGCGGGCACCGGGCCCGGGAUGACAGGGACCAGGAGGGCACUCGGGCAUCAACGCUGGUUUUUAGUCCCCUGUCCCCUAGGAAGAAACGAGGGGACGCGAGAGGACGACGCCCAAGCGAACGGUUAGAUAAUCAAGCAGGAAAGGCGCGGCAGUUUUGUUAACUAUACAAAUAAACAUUUCUUUGAGGAAAGAACAAUACAGGGAAUAGUCGUAAAACGGAAACACUGGUAUUUCCCGGUGCUGUUUCUUCGUCCGGAUUGCGGCUCGUACGUAUACCAGUGCAGAGAUCGCACACGUAAAAAUAUCCAAAUUUUCACGAAGGGCAGAUGCCUAACCAGCACCGUUAUCACGUGUCCUUUAAAAUGCAUAUGUGAACGUGCGAACGCAUGUGUUUUUGGGUAUGUUGAAAGGCCUGAUAAAUACAUACUCAUGAACUGAGGUGCUCUUACCAUCUCAAAACCUACUAAAAUCAUAGCCUUUGCAUCUAUUGAAUGUUUCACAAAACCUUAAAAUGUUACUUACACAAAACAAUAGUCACGGGACCACAGGAUAAAGCUUCAUAAAACUAUGAAAUUUAACAUUAGAAACAGAUAUAUAGAUUUUAAAAUGAUUUCCUUCCUAAAUAAACUGUCUCCUUUGGGUGGCUCACAACCAUCUGUAACUUCAGUUCUAUGGGGAUCUGAUGCCCUCUUCUGGUCUCUGUGGGUUGCUAUAGAUUCCUUUUUGUUUAAGGAAUUUUCUUUGUUUUUCGAGACAGUUUUUUCUCUAUGUACCCCUGUUUGGCCUGGAACACACUCUGGAGACCAGGUUGGCCUGACUCCCUAGUGCCGGGGCUAAAGGUGUGUAUCACUGCUCCUGGAUAACCUUACUUUAUAGUUCAAGAGACAGUAAGUAAAGAAUUAUCAGGGUCUCUAGAGUGGAGAGAAGUGUCCCUUUCAUCCAUUCUCGGAGUCUUCAAAGAGACCAAUCGGGUUAGAGCGUCCUUCCUUCCUGUCUCUCAAACCCACACAUUCUUGGCCAUGCCAGAGUAUAGACUCAAGAGGUCCCAGACACUGUCUUGAAUCCCAACCC